UGAAGAGAUUUCUGAGUGGACAAAAGAAACAGAUUGUAAAUCUGCUGCGAAAGCUUCAGAGGUUCGAAUCCUCUUCUCUUCAA
rnacentral:tRNA from 1 species